rnacentral:misc_RNA from 1 species
UACGGAGGAUCCAAGCGUUAUCCGGAAUCAUUGGGUUUAAAGGGUCCGUAGGCGGCUGUAUAAGUCAGUGGUGAAAUCCGGCAGCUCAACUGUCGAACUGCCAUUGAUACUGUACAGCUUGAAUUAUUGUGAAGUAACUAGAAUAUGUAGUGUAGCGGUGAAAUGCUUAGAUAUUACAUGGAAUACCAAUUGCGAAGGCAGGUUACUAACAAUACAUUGACGCUGAUGGAUGAAAGCGUGGGUAGCGAACAGG